UACGUAGGGUGCAAGCGUUAAUCGGAAUUACUGGGCGUAAAGCGUGCGCAGGCGGUUUUGUAAGUCAGAUGUGAAAUCCCCGGGCUUAACCUGGGAACUGCGUUUGAAACUACAAGGCUAGAGUGUAGCAGAGGGGGGUGGAAUUCCACGUGUAGCAGUGAAAUGCGUAGAGAUGUGGAGGAACACCGAUGGCGAAGGCAGCCCCCUGGGUUAACACUGACGCUCAGGCACGAAAGCGUGGGGAGCAAACAGGAUUAGAAACCCCAGUAGUCC
rnacentral:rRNA from 1 species